GACUCUGCCUUUGCUUGCAGUUCUCUGGCUUGAUUGAGGAGGUUCUCACUUUCAUCUUUAUGGGACUUUGGCUAAAAAAAUAACCUGUCAAAGGAACUGGCAUUUGCUGACGGGACUACAGCACAUCUCGAAGAAUCUGCAGACUGAAACCUUCAAGGCAUUCAUGAAAUGGUCUUUCCUUAGUUCCCCUGCCCUUUCUACUCUUUCUGCCAUUUGGAUUUCACACUGGAAGUUCAAGAGAUGACAUCAGAAAACAGAAAAGCCAGUGGGAAAGGCAAGGAGAUUUGGAAGAGUGUUUGAAAAUUUUGGCAAUCAAGAAUAAGAAGGUCAGUAAAUUUCAGUGCAGGACCACAUAAGUCUAAAAUGCUACCUACAAUUUUGCUUAAAGAUCGUGCAACUGUGUAGGCGGAUGUUCCUGCAAACCCAAAGCAGGAAGCCAAGUCACCAGGCAGAGCUGAUAGCAUGGGAAGUGGGUUCCCACCGGUCGCAUGCAGCUGCUCUGGUAUGGCCAUGGUGCUGGGGAUGAGUCAGAAAUCUCAGUCUUUCCUGACUUAGUGAAAAGGAAGAAUGGAACCCAUCUUCUCCAAAUAUGUUGCUAUGGGGUAGAUGUAGGUCUAGAGACAGAAAAGAAUCACAUUUGAACAUCCUCUUAAUGCAAGAACAUUUUUAAAGAAUCAAUUUCCCCUGAAUAUCCAUCAAGCCUAAUACAGUGUGACUAUCUCAGAUCAAUUGUCCUUAUCUUUACAAAGACUGGGAGUUAUAUAGCUGUGGACAAAAGCAAUACUGUAAAAUAUGUGU
rnacentral:antisense_RNA from 1 species